UUUAAUUCGAUGCAACGCGAAAAACCUUACCUGGUCUUGACAUCCACAGAAUUUUUUAGAAAUAAAAAAGUGCCCUCGGGAGCUGUGAGACAGGUGCUGCAUGGCUGUCGUCAGCUCGUGUUGUGAAAUGUUGGGUUAAGUCCCGCAACGAGCGCAACCCUUAUCUCUUGUUGCCAUCGGUUCGGCCGGGAACUCAGGAGAGACUGCCGGUUAUAAACCGGAGGAGGGUGGGGACGACGUCAAGUCAUCAUGGCCCUUACGACCAGGGCUACACACGUGCUACAAUGGUUUAUACAAAGAGAAGCAAAUCUGCAAAGACAAGCAAACCUCAUAAAGUAAAUCGUAGUCCGGACUGGAGUCUGCAACUCGACUCCACGAAGUCGGAAUCGCUAGUAAUCGUGGAUCAGAAUGCCA
rnacentral:rRNA from 1 species